rnacentral:lncRNA from 1 species
UGCAACAAACAUUUAUUGAGCAUCUGUUGCGUGCACGUCAUUGUUCCAGAUGCUGCGAACACUCAGAGGACAGUCACGGUAACUGUCAUGUAGGAGAACAUACAUGGAAGCUACACCAAAACUUCAAGGGAGAAUUAGAAGAGGCCUUACCUAGAAACACACUGAUUUCAGAAAUAUGGAAUGAGUAGGAGAUUGUCAGUAAAGAGGAGAUAUGUGAAUAUGUGAGGGAUGAUGAGAAGGCUGGUGUGUGUGUGUGUGUGUGUGUGUGUGAGAGAGAGAGAGAGAGAGAGAGAGAGAGAGAGAGAGAGAGAGAGAGAGAGAGAGAGAGAGGAAGGAGAGAGCUGCUUGCCGGUAGGGGUAGGGCGAAAAGAGGAAAUUGACAUGUAAUCAAAUUACAUCAUAAAAGGCCACAAAGGGCCUGCAAAGGAGUGCAGGGUUCUUUUGACCACCAGGAGAUGGGAGCCUUGGAAGAGUGUGCAGCAGAGGCCUCUGUGAGGGACCUGGGAUGGGAGCAAGAGGAGGGGCAGAGAGCAGCCAGGAGGAUGGAGCAGCAGCAGCCAGAAGGAUUUCCCUGGAGAGACGCCUGUGUUACAGCAUUCUUGACUUCGAGUUCAGACUUAGUCAUUCCUAAGUUCAGGGUGGGCCUGGACAGCCCUGCGUCCUUGCCAUCCCCACUGCAUGGUCCCUGCCUCCGUGCCCAGCGCUGCCCAGCUGCCCGUCAGUCUCCGUCCUCCACUGCUUACACUGCCGCAGGUCAGGUCGUUAGCGGGAAGUUUCAGGGUGGCAUUUCAGUGCCUGGGGAGAGAUUUGGGAUCAGGGAGGUUUCCCGGGUCCCUCUGAGGUGACCUCUCUGUACACCAGGGCCACUGGACCGGGAGACAGGUUGGUCCAAGAAUGUCAGAUUUUUCCUCCAACCACCAUAUUAAGCUUAUAGAAGACUUAAAGGUCACAAAUAUCUAUUAUAUCCGCAAUGUUCCUUCUGGAAAUUAUAGUUUUGGCUGAUAGUAUUUCAAUGUACUUAGUUGCUAACGUAAUAGCCAAAGAACACACAUCCUUUAUCUUGUUUAAUGCCAAUUACCCUGUCACUAUUUGCUUGCAGCUGUUGGAAUAGCUUCAAAUGUGGUUCAAGACAGACAAGUUUGACUCUAUGGAGGCCACAGAUAUUCACUUCUACUGAAUCAGCUGUUUCCUGUUGAAAAUUUUAAACAAUAUUAAUGACUGACUUCUGUACAGCCAAGUAGUUUGAUCAUGCUUUUUAUUUAAUUCAGUUUAGGAGAGGAAAGCAACUCAUUGAUCAUUUUUUAAGAUUCAGUUUAUGAGUGAUAUGGUAUAGAAACCACAUUUCCUGAAACAGUCUUUGUUGAAGUACUCUGAUUAGAAAAAAAAAGAAUAGCUCAGUAAGUAAAACAAUUUUGUUAGGAACUUUAUUUUCUAAAGCAAAAGUAGAUGACAAGAGGACUUGCCUACUCUGAUCUGCAGUGGAAAACUAUAUUACUUUUUGUUCAGUGUAUCAUUUAUAAUGUGUUAUGCCUUUAUGAGUAUGUUUUGUAGUUCGUGUAAAUUGGUUAUACUCUUAAUCCUCUAUUUAGAUUUAAGCCUCAGGGAACAAGGCUCCUAAAAUGUGCUUUUGUCAGAAGCGAGGAGGAAAUGGAGCAGCCCAGUGACACCCUCACUGCUGGGGCUAUGACCGGAGGCCUGCGACGGGGCUGGCCAGCAAGCUCGUGACAAGUUCCUGAGAGCCAAGGGGCAGUUGGUUAGCAAGGCUUUUAAUUUAAGUUCAAUUUGGGUUAUGUAAGAAAUGCGGAAGAAAAAUCUUUAGUAUACUCCUUAAUGAUCUGACUAGGAUAAAUUGGGUGUACUGAUAAUAGCUGUAGUAUUUACCGAAAAGUACUUUCUAAGAAAUAGAAACAUUGCUCCAAUGGAAUGAUGAAAAACUUAUCAUCAAAAGAGAGCUAGGCACAGGGGUGGUGGAACAGAAGUGGUCUACUCAGGACCCAGUGACUGUUUUCUCUGAAGUGCCGUCAAGGACCAUUAAGGAGAAGAGGCAUUUAUAGAAGCAUAAGACUGUCAGAGCUGCAAGGGUCACCUCUGGUCUGACACCCUAACUUUACAGGGCAGGAAACCCAGGCCUGCUUACUCAAGGGUAAUCACACUGCGAUUUCUGUUGAGGGACAGGUAUGUUUGGAGAAAUGGUAUGUUUUGGGGACCUAGAACUAGACCUAUGCCCUUGGGUGCACUUAGGGAAGGAGAGAAGCCCAGUCUCGUGGGAAGAACAUGCUGGGUGAAGGGCUGGAUGUCAGGAGCAUGAUGACGACAUCUAGGUGGCACAUGGAGGAGGAGUUAGUAGGAGGCCAGUCAAGUGGGACUUGGAAAUCCAGGUAAGUAGUGAACUCUGAGCAGGUAAUGGAGGCAUCAGCCAUUCAUCUUCAAUGCAGAGACAAGUGUUCUGUCCCUAAAAUAGAGAGACGUCUAACAAAAGAAAGAAGGAGUUCCAAUUCUCUAAAGACUGGGUUACCAGUUAGGUUAAACAUAGAUUGUCCAGGCUGAUACUGCAGCUUUAGAACAAGAGAAAUUUCUAGACCUGGGGCACAGGCCAGUACCUAUAAGCAAAGUGAAAAAAUGGUAUAUUCUAAGAUGCUAGGACAGAGCCCCUAUAUUCCUCUUCAAGGAAGGAUUUUUCUAAGAAACUAGUAUGUGGAAAAUGAAAAAAUAAGUCUCAAGAAAAUACGUUUGGUCACAUCCCAGAUCCAACUUAUUAAAACAUUUUUGUGCAUUUUCAGGUUACUGUUCCCAUUUAAAAGACAUCUUACAAAAUACCCCAGAGUGAGUGAAAUGAAACAAUUCAUUUCUCACAGUUCUGGAGGCUGGGGAGCCCAACGUCAAGACACCAGCAGAUUCAGUGUCUGGUGAGGGCCCACUUCCUGGUCCUUGGUCAGCCAUCUUCUUCUGUAACCUCUCCUGGUGGGAGGGGCAAGGAGGAACUCUGUGGUCCUUUUUAUAAUGGCACUAAUCCCCUUUUGAGUGCUCUGCAUUCCAGAGGAUCCCACUUCUAAAUAUCAUAUGUCCAUUAGAAUUUAACACAUGAAUUUUGAGAGCAUCCAAAUAUUUUAUCUAUAGCAAUAGAUGAACCUAAUCUAGAAAUUUUACUCUAAUGAUUCUCAAAUAUACCUUAGAUUAGUAACAUAAGGAUGCAGAGAGAAGUAAAAGAAAAAUCGCCCUUUCUUUAUUAAUAUUAAUUAUUCUGAUUAAUUGCAACACAUGAAUUUAUUUAUAGAACUUUAAAAUAUUACUCUUGCUUUUAUUUCCAACAACAUGAGUGAAGAACAAUGAAAAUGUAAAAUAUCACAUAAGAAUGCAGGUGAGUGGAAUAAUUUGUGUUGAUUGGGAAUUAGUAUUAUUGAGUUUAGCAUUUACUGAGACCCUACCAUGUGAAGAAACUGAGAACUGAAUGAUGAACAUGACAUAAUGGCUAAUGUUAUAUGUCAACUUGCUAAGUUAUGGUGCACAGUUGUUGGAUGGAAGACAAAUAUAAGUGUUGUCAUGAGGGCGCUUUUAAAAUAUGAAUAAUAUUUAUAUUAGUAGACUUUGAGCCAAGCAGAUUAUCCCCUAUAGUGUGAGUAAGCCUUGUCCAAUCAGUUGAAGACCAGAAGAACAAAGCCUGUGGUUUCUCGAAGAAGGAAUUCUGAUGACUGCAACACAGAAAUCCUGCCUGAAUUUCCAUCCUGCUGUCUGGUGGAAUUUGCACUCAAGACUGCAAAAACACCUAUUGCCUAAGUUUCAACUCUGGGCAAAUUUAAAACUUGCCAGCCUCUACAGUCACAAGGGACAAUUCCUUAAAACAAAUCUAUCAUCUGUCAUUUGUUACCUGCCUGUCCUAUUGGUUCUGUUUCUCUGGAGAACCCUCAGGAAUACACACGACCUAUUUUCACACUAGGAGCCAAUAAAAUGCUGAAAAAUAUUCAACAUCUCAAGUAACUUGGUCUGGUUAAGCCGGUAGCAUUUGGAUUUCUUUUCUUUUUCUUUUAAAUGUUUAAUUCCUUUGUUAGUACAUGUUUGUAGUGUACGAUGUUUACAGUCAUCUCAGGGAAUAUGUGCUUGUACUGAACGUAUCUUAAUAUCUUUUAUUCUGCUUCUCCUCUCCUCCCUUCCCUCUGUCUCCAGAUCCUUUUUCCCAGUUUUUGUUUUUUUUUCUUAGUUCUUGUUUGUGACACAUAAUGUUCACAUUCCUCGUGGGGAGUCAGUACACAUACCCGACACAUCUUAAUUCUUUUUAUGUCCCCUUCCCCUCCCCUUUCCUACAUCUCUCGGCCCCCUUCCCAUUUGCAAAAGAUAUAUCUCCUGUUUCUUAUUUCCUUUUAAAGGACUACCAGGAAAACAACACAUCUCAAUUCAUUGUACUAUUUCUCAAACUAACACUUGAUUAGUUUUGUCCAAAUUUGAGACAAUAAAUUUUGCAUCUGCUGAAUCACUGCCACUUUUCCUCUCAAAGUUCUUCAAGCCAAGUUCCAGUGGGGAAUAUGUGAAAAUACUGGGAAGCACAGCUGCUACAAGAGUCCAAGAAUUUGAAGGUCACUCUUUCUGAUCAACACACAUUAAGUAUUGCCAAGCAUUUAUGUUUUAAAGAUGGUAACAAGCAAUUGAUUUAUUGUUUGUCAUCAACCACAAAACAUUUGAUUAAACUAGGGAUUUGAAAAGUUUUCUCCACUCAUUUUUAUAAUUUCAUAAGGUUGAACCCGAGCUAAAAGGAUGUCAGAUCUAGCUUCCUGGUUUUAUAAAUAAAGUACAGAAAAAUUAAUGAUUUUAAGUAGUGAUUUGC